rnacentral:rRNA from 1 species
GACGAACGCUGGCGGCGUGCUUAACACAUGCAAGUCGAACGGAAAGGCCCUGCUUUUGUGGGGUGCUCGAGUGGCGAACGGGUGAGUAACACGUGAGUAACCUGCCCUUGACUUUGGGAUAACUUCAGGAAACUGGGGCUAAUACCGUAUAGGAGCUCCUGCUGCAUGGUGGGGAUUGGAAAGUUUCGGCGGUUGCGGAUGGACUCGCGGGUUAUCAGCUUGUUGGUGGGGGUGUGGCUUACCAAGGCUUUGAAGGGUACCCGGCCCGGGAGGGUGACCGGCCACAUUGGGACUGAGAUACGGCCCAGACUCCUACGGGAGGCAGCAGUGGGGAGUAUUGCACAAUGGGAGGAAGCCUGAUGCAGAAACGCCGCGUGCGGGAUGACGGCCUUCGGGUUGUAAACCGCUUUCGCCUGUGACGCAGCGUGAGUGACGGUAAUGGGUAAAGAAGCACCGGCUAACUACGUG